AUGGGACAAAACAGACAGGAUAGCCUCUUCAGGUGGCUGACAACUAGUAGGAACACCCUCUUUGGCCAUGACCCAACUGGCAGGAACAUCCUCUGUAGGCCUAACAGGACAGGCAGGAACACUUUGUAUGGCCCAGAUGUGACAGUAGGAACAAUACUUAAGGACUUGACAAGACAGGAACAAUCUCUAUGGCCAUGACCCAACUGGCAAGGACAACCUUCGAGGACAUAACAGGACAGACAGGAACAUUUUAUAUGGCCAUAACUUGACGGUAGGAACAACUAUGGCCAUGACCCAACUGGCAGGAACGACCUCUAUAGGAGUGACAGGACAAGCAGGAACACUUUGUAUGGCCCAGACAUGAUGGGUAGGGACAACCUCUGAAGGCAUGACUUGACAACAUCUUCCGUGGACAUGACAGGAGUGAACUCUGGAUGCUUGACAACAUCUUCCGUGGACAUGACAGGAGUGAACUCUGGGGACUAGACAGCAUCUGUGGACAUGACAGGAGUGAUCUCUGGACACUUGACAAAUGACAGGAGAAACUUCAGUGGGCAUGGUGACAAGAUUGACUUCUGAUGACAGGAUGUGAGAGGCUAGAACAGUCUCCGGUACAACUUCUGUAACAGUCAAAUAGGCUGGGAGGUUUGGUAGAAUACCCUUGUAACUAUGACUUGAGGUUCUGACAACAAGACCACCGAACUAAACACCUCUGGACUAGGUUCCAAUAUUGACUGGGGAAGGACUGUGGGGGCUAUUGGAAGAGACUCGGGGGCUGCAGGAACUGAUUCUUGAUGCCCUCCGGGGCUGGAGCCGACACUGGAGCGAGCUCUGGGGCUGGAGCCGACACUGGAGCGGCUUGGAUAACUUUAAUUCUGACUGGAAUGAUUUGAAGCAAAGAUGACUACAGCAAUCCCAGCAGAGUUUGAAACUGUCUUGACGGAUUCAGAAAUUGAACUUGACUAGAUCAGGGAUAGCUGCAGCAAUCAGCCAACUCAGGGGUAUCUGAAACUAACAAGACAUGAUUAACAUUCAGGGCAAAAAAAAUUCACUAGAUAAAAUGAAAAAAAAAAAACCCGGAGUAGUGAUGCUCAUCUGCUGGGUCCUGACUUGGGCUGGUUCGUAAUGUCAGGGAUCUGAGAAGGAGGACCCAGUUAGAGAGUGAGUGAACAAUGGUUUAUUGACAAAACAGACUGAUACAAGAGGGUAGUGAAGUGCACAAAUACCACAACAGGAACACAAUAAACAGGAACAGCUAGGGAAGGCCA
ensembl:lncRNA